UACCAACAUCUGAUGCCACCACUUCUUUUUCCCCAGGACCCCAACUGUGAUGAUUGACGGGGAGCUUUUCCACAGAGACAAGUGAUCCAGUGACUUACCUGAAAAGCAAGAGAAAUAAAGGACAAUACUUAGGUCUGACACAUAAAAUCUUGCAGGUGGGAGAAAAUGAGGUGCACAUGCACGCACGCACGCACAGCACAACACAGCACAGCAGCUAACAAAAUUGGGACUUAAUUGGCAACAGAAGAAAGGUGGACAUGGCCUCCCAGUCCCAGCACUCCAGCAGUAGUCUGCUGCUUUCUUUGCCCCUGCAUGAAACACUCGUGAUGUACAAGUAGCUGCAGGAAAGAAAAUAAAAGGAGAGGAAAAAAGGAUUUAAAAGAGAGAAAAUUUCUGAUUUCUAGUAGAAAAUGGUGUACUGGCUGGGUCGCAGUCAAUCAACAUGGGAGCAAGAACAUCAGUCCUUGUCCUAAUAAUGUAAACCCUGAUGGACUGGUUUUACUUUCACUUGCUGACUGAUUCUCAUCAAACAAGUACACUGGAAAUGGGAAACGAGAUAAAAGGAAAAAAAAAAAGGCGAAGAAGGAAGAAGAUGGAACAGUUUUUUGUACAAGGCCGCGACAAUUAAAAUAUCGGUGGAGACGGACGGCAACCCCACCAGUUUUGGCACCGGACAUAGAUUCUUAGGAGAUGACGAGACAGACCCCCCACACGCACAGCCAGGAAGCAACCAAGGCAAGGGGUUAAACCUCCCUUCUCACAACCACCACCACCACCACCACCACCUUUAAAAGAAGGUGCUAAAGGGGGUGUCCUGCAAAGAAAAGGAGAGGAGUGCCCCCUAACCUUUCCCUGCUUUCCACUGAAAUCUCCUAUCCGCAACCAUACAGUUGCUCAAUUCUGGUCUCAGCCAAAGCCCCAAUCAUUCAUCGUUAUAUAGGUCACUAUACCCUCCCUUGCAUUUCCCACCACCACCCCUUGAAGCCAUGAAUCGCUGAAGAAGUCGUCUGCGCUACUGCUACCACCGGGGAAGGAUUAGCUGCGCAGAAUUGUGCGAGCGAAGCCUGCCAGCCGUGCGAAUUUCAAGCUCCGAGGUCCUGCAUUGCACUGAAAUGGGGAGGCAUUCUUGCUGCUACAAGCAGAAAUUGAGGAAGGGGCUCUGGUCCCCUGAGGAGGAUGAGAAGCUCAUGAAUCACAUAACCAAGCAUGGCCAUGGCUGCUGGAGUUCUGUUCCUAAACUUGCAGGUGAGCUCAAACAAGUCUUCUGCAUUUCCUCGUUUAUACCAGCUUCCGAUUCUUCUCUUAUCUCUUCUCCAACAAUUCUACUCCCUGAAUUGGUCCAAAAUUCUAAAUUUCUUCCUGGUGAAUUGUUGCAGGGCUCCAAAGAUGCGGCAAGAGCUGCAGGCUGAGGUGGAUAAACUAUCUGAGGCCUGACCUCAAGAGAGGUGCAUUCUCUCAGGAGGAAGAAGACCUCAUCAUUGAGCUCCAUGCUGUCCUUGGGAACAGGUAAACUUCAAUCUCAAUUGGCACUACCAAAAUUCAGGACUAGUAACUGCAAGGCAACACUUUGAUACAUCAACUAACACAGCCCUUCUAUUUUUCCAUGAGAAGGUGGUCUCAGAUUGCAGCUCAGCUGCCUGGGAGGACUGACAACGAGAUCAAGAAUCUCUGGAAUUCUUGCAUCAAGAAGAAGCUCCGGCAGAAAGGCAUUGAUCCCAACACCCACAAGCCCCUCACCGAGGCUGAUCGCAGGGGAGCAGCACCCACAGUCAGCACCGAGAGGACCUCAGGGUCCAGCGACGUCAACCCGUCAAGUGCUGGUGCUCUAGGGAACUUGAGCCACCUCCUCAGCGAGACAGCACAAUCAUCAAUGCUGCUGCCGGUGUAUGAUAAGAAUCACCCUGAAACUGCAAGCUUGCCACGCCCUAAGGUGCCACCAAAGGAGUUGUUUCUUGACCAGCUUACUGCCGGUCACGAGAGCCCAUCAAGUUGCCGCUCAUCAGGUCCAACCCUGUAUUUUCCUUUCCAGCAACCAUUAGGCUACAGUAAUGAAUGUGGCACUGGGGAUGGUGCGAGUAUGAAUUCACUCUGGUUCAACCAGAAUGAUUUCAACUGCAGCACAAUCUCCACCGUGAUGCCACCAGUUUCACCAUCAGCCCUCUCAACAUCAAUGGGGCUGAAUCUUCCCCCAGAAAAUCCUCGUCACGGAGGCACUGGCAUUGGCAACACCCCGUUCUACUGGGAUGGUUCCAAUCCUAGCAGCAGCGGCAGUACUGGGAGCAGCGGAAGCAACAGUAUGGGAUUCGAGCCACAGAGCACAACCUCAAUUUUGGAGAACAGUGUAUUCCCAUGGACAGAUAUCGGACAAGAGAAAGAUACCAGAGUUCACUUAGUGGAGGAACUCAAGUGGCCUGAUUUGCUCCAUGGAACCUUUGCUGAGGCGACGACAGCCAUGCAGAACCAGAGCCAAUCAUUAUACGAUGAUGUGAUCAAGGCAGAGAGCCAAUUCAACAUGGAAGGGAUAUGUGCCUCUUGGUUCCAGAAUCAGCAACCACAACAACAGCUGCAAGCAGCAUCAGACAUGUAUGAUAAAGACUUGCAAAGAUUGCCCUUGUCUUUUGAACAUAUCUAGGUGCAAUGCUACGCCAUGCAUGGAACAGAGCAGAGAUCAGAAGAAGCAGAAACUUGUAACUCUCGCAUAUUGAUUGGCAGGCAAAACACUGAAGUGUUUGAUGUUUUGACACAGAAUCGACCUCAACACUUUCUCCUCACUUAAAGAUCCUACAGUGUCAUGGAAAAGACAGCUCUGGCCUUACGAGUAGCAGAAGAAGGGAUAGAAAAGUACGUUCUAGAGUCUCCCUCUUUUCUCUUGAAAUUUGCUGUUUUUUGUACACGACAACUCAACUUUUGGAUACUUGAGUUUUGGUUCACUCUGUUUAUCAAAUAAAUAUAGACACGCAUGGGCAAAACAUGUGUCGGUAGCUCUCACAAACCAUACAAGUAGUCCCAAGCUUUUCAACUGCUACCAUGCACGUACAUGCAAAUUAAUUAUUGCAUGUUGUAUUUUUAUUUCUUUUGAGAAGUUGCCGACAAAGUGCAGUUGUAUAUUUGUAAAGGAAAAAAAUUGGAACAUUGACCCAAGAGUUAUUUUCACCUCCUCUCCCUUUCCAGUUUCUGUCUUAACUUUUUAUGUGAAGAAUCCAAAGCUACUUGAUCACUUUCUACUUGAAUACAAGCAGGGAAAAGGAUUGGUCGAUUUGAUAGGUCCAAAGAGGUAAUCAUCCUCCAGAGAAAGUAAACACAUUUGACAAAAGAAGAGGAGGAAAUUAUUAAUGAAUAUCCACCUACCAUAUGGAUGGGUAAUAUAUGAAACAUCAAUGUGUGGCGGGCACUCAAGAUAUGCUUAUCUAUGUGUGUACAUCACUUGUUUGUGUACCAAAACUAUGGUACAUUACUUAUUUGUAAACCAUGGAAAAUGUAUGUCUGCCUUACAAAGGCCAGGAGUUUAAUUGUUCAGCACCUAAGAGAUUUUGCAUGCUUCUUUGGUUUAUCCCAUAAUGAAUAUGGACUUGCAGCACUUCUUAAUCUAGGUUUGAGUUAAGAUUCAUUAUGAACUUGCGGCACUUCUUAAUCUAGGUUUGAGUUAAGAAGGCUAAUAGACAUAAGAGCCUAGUCUCAACAUCUUCGCCCUGAGGGACAAUGUGUAAAGGAGGAGCUACUUGCUGGCUGUGUGAGGGGAUGCCUCAUCCCUCGGGCGUUUGUAAAAGGGAAUUAUUGAUUGCUCUAGGAAUAAUUGGAAUUCAGUUCAUAAGGAUUUGGGUCAAAAUGCCCCUAUCCAUACAGUCCCUCAAGUUAGUUUUUGAAUAUAGAAGGCUCAGUAGCCCUCAGUGCUCAAUAAAGCUAAGAACUCCUAAAAUGAUAAACAAACGAGGAAAAGGAAAGGCUAUGCCACUAUUUUCUUUGGCCUGUCAGGUGGGCUCCUUUUUCUCUGACUACUCAAAAAUUAAAUCAGCAUCAUAUUGGUUUGUUUCUAUGCAUGGCAGUAGUCCUAAUUAAAAUAAAGUUGUCUAAUCAGGUUCCUAGGCCCCAAAUUAGCUUUAGAAGUUACAUAUUUUAUUUUUAUGUGACAUAAUUAAUGGAGUGUGGCCAUGUGCACGAAAAUGCUGGCAUAAAGUGGUCAGUCCUUGCAUUUUCACAAAUGAAAUGAGACCAAUAAUGCUGAUAAGGACCAUUAGCACUAAAAAGCAAUUAGAGAGGUCCAAUAAUUCUGUUUCGUAGCCGUGAAUUACCUGUCUACAUCUUGGUUCUGGUAAAUAACUAAACACAAAUUACACUUGCUAAGAGCAUGGUUACAUACCCUGAUGUGUCAACUUAUGUGGCAUAUGUGCUUUAAUUUCCUUUGUUUAUAUCCUGUGUCUGCUUGGACAUAUGAGCUGUAUAAUUGGAUGUAUCUGCAUGUUUUGAAUGAAUAUAUCAGUUGAAAGAAAGCCAAAAAAGUACAAAGGGAAGUAGAGGUAGCGGGACACGAAAAUAGUAACUGUUGUAAUGGAGUAGUGCUAACACUCUUCCAGAUGAAACAGACAUUUGGUUUAAUAUUUUGAUAUUUAGUUUCAACUUUGCAAAAACUGGAUACCUAACACCAUCAUUAGAAAAUUAACGAUAACAGAUGAGGAAUAAUAUCACAAAUUACUCGAGUAACAGUAAGUUAGCUACAGUUAGGCCCAAGAUAUAAUAACUUUUGUGCUAUUAGGACGUCCAAGUGGAGCAAGGAUUAUCCAACAAAUAAUUCAUCUUUUCCAGUUGACAGGACCCUAAAUGAAAUUCAUUAUGAUCAAACUUGAACUUUAAAUACAUGAAGCUCAAGUCGGCGAAAUAUCCUUACUUUUUGUACAAACAAAAAAAUUUGGGAAAACCAAACAAUUUAACCACCACUUGUUUCUUUUUAACAGGAACUAGGGUAUAGUGAUACAACAUUACCAGGAAAGAACCAAAAGGGUAAGACAAGAAUCUAUUCCUGCAUGCUAACUGUGUUUCUGAAUGUUUCUUUCUUCUCUCUUUGACAUCAGCGUGACGAUAAGAAUAUGAAAGCAAAUUGGAGCAGCUUUAAGUUUGCAUCACUAUAACCAAGAAAGAAGCUCCCGUCUAGUGUUGAGGGUAUAGAUGGAACAAUUUUGCACUUGAAUAUAUAGUACACUACAUUUGUGAAUAACACCAUUCAAAAAAUGCCUUAUAUUUUUCUUAGUGGGGGGAAUACAUGCUUGAGACUUGGUUGCACGAGUUUCAUCAGUUGUUGACCUGAGAAUUCACACAUAUUCAGAUGGCACGUCUUUGUAUUGUGUGAUUAGCCAAAUCCCAUACUCCAUAACCUCAAUGGAUAAGUUUGGCUUAUAUUGAAGAUCAGAUAGAGGGAAAAGAAUAACAUUUGCAGAACUAAAUCCCAACAGUAUACACCCAAUCACUAACAGUAGAGAAGUAAAUCGUAAACCAAAAGGAAUGACCCGAGACUGUAAGACAGGAGGAAACAGCAAAGCAAACAGCUAGUUGGUUGGGAUGAUCCACAAGCGCAUGUGGAUAGAAUCAUCAACCAAGAGAGAACAAAUUGACAACUAAACAUAGCUGAACUCAGAAGCAAGCGAGGAUAUAGGUAGCUUGUGGACCUAGGUGUAUGCAAUAUACAAUUCAGUCUACGCAGAUCAGGGUUCUUUUUCUCCUUUCUGAGUUUCAUUUCCCCUUUGAUCCUCAUCUUUCUAGUUGAAUUGGGACAACAGGAUGUAAGGAGUGUGGCUCAAGAUUUUUAUCAUUUAAAGGCUGCAUUCAAGCAUGAAGCUGAAGCCCAACAUGUCGAGGCCAUGUUCUUCUUUGUGGAAAGUGAUUCAGGAAUUUUUCUUGAGGGCCUGCUUUGCGAAUUGUGAGAUCAUGGCCCAGGGCACGGGAGUCAUCUUCCUUAAUGACAGAAUCAAUAAUCCAACUCGAGAAGAUUUGGAGGAUCUCCAACAGUGAAUGGAAAACCUGCACUUUCAUAACGUGACUUACGUCUACAAAAAACAAACUGGUAAUUUCUGAAAAGAGAAGUGCAGUGGUUGAUUAUCUUGACAUUCAUUUAUGUCUGUUUCCAGAAUGAGGUUGACGUAGCAAUAUUUGAGAAGAAUACCAACACUAAAAGAUUUGAAGCUUCACAUUUUCAGGAGUAGAAAAACUGGGAAAAUAUUCUUUAAGAGAAUAAAACUGAGACUUAAUUAAACAGGCAUCACCCAACCAGCCACCAGUGAAGCAUGCAUGUGAAGUAUCAAGCAUUAUCAAUCUUUCACAAUUAGUUGGAUUCAAGCUUCAAGUAAAACUGAGACACAAGUUUACCUUAGUGGGACAUGCAUGUGAAGUACCAAGCAUCAUUAAUCUUUCACAAUCAGUUGGAUUCAAACUCCAAGUUAAAAAGGAAGAUAUGCAAGAAAUCACUUGACUCACUUCAUCUCUUUUCCUAUUUAGCUACAGCAAACUGACCAAAGGCAACAGACAAUCCAAAGGAAAAUGGGAGAAAAAGGACCACAGACUGCUCGAUUGCUACUUUGCAAGACGAUCCGUUGUGACAUCCAUCUCCCACACAGCUACACUCCUAAAACUGUAUCAUGUACACAUAAACCAAGCUCCACUUGAUAUAUCUAUCACACACUUCACCAUCUCAAUGUCAUUGGCGGGAUUGUUUCGAAUCGCCGGAACCCUCGAGCGUUCGGUUCAUUCCAGAUUUCGGGUUUUAUCACACAACCAGAACAAUGCACAACUAUUUUGCAAAACCCCAGGGCAACUCUCUUCCCGAAACAAAAGCAAAGCAUCUAAUGAUGAAUACCAUAUGAAGUAGCAAAAUGCGUCAAUCGCAGCAACCCCACACUUACCAUGAUCUGCGAGAAGGAGAGAGAGGGCACGCAUGCAGCGCCAUGGCGAAUCGAUGAGGUGGGCGGCGGGAGACCACAGAGGGGAGGGUUGAGGGGGCAGCGAGGCCGGCGAGGAGGGGCGCGGGAGGCCGGCGAUGGGACGGCAAAGGGGUGGGCGGCGCGAGGAGGGGAGGGGAGAAGGAGACGGCGGCGAGCCGGCGAGUCCCCGGCGGCGGCAGGGAUGAUGGCGGCGGCGUGUUCAGGAGUCGAGGGCUCGAGGAGGCCCAUCCAAAUCAUAGCCCAGAUUGAAAACCAGAGCCCAAACCGUUAGCCACAGGCCCACGAGUCCAGUUUCUGGGCCCUUUGUUAUUUUCUCCAUUUUCUUAAUUGGAAUAAGUUCACUUGAGAUCCCUUAACUUGUCCACGAAUCCAAUUUUCGUCCUUCAACUGAGACACUAUAUACAACGGGUACCUCAAACCCUCAGAGGUUUUGAUGGUGGUUUUGGCUAAUGUGGUGCCUACGUGACCGGUUUGACUUGGUCCCCGUCCUACGUGACGGCGAUGUGGCACUAGAAGCAAAAUAUAAAAAAUAAAGUAAAAAAAUAUGAGGCCCACAUGUCUGUCAUAUAAAAGGGAAAAACAGUGGGACCCACCAUCCUCUCUAUCCACGGACGACGAGAGAGGAGCGACCGGCGCGUUCUUCUCUCUCCCUCCCGGCCAUCCUUCCUCGCUGGCGAGCGCGCACGGAUAAGGAAAAAGCCCAGAAAGGCUGACAGCAUGGACAGAUAUUGACGUAUGCCCGCCACAUAAUUAAAGGUAUCAAGAAUUCUUCAGAGAAGGCAGUGAGGCCGUGUUGCCAGAAAGAAAAUUAAAGUAUUAAACGUAGACUAAUAACAAAACUAUUCCGCAUGUAAAUUGUGAUACGAAUUUAUUAAGUCUAAUUAAUCCGUUAUUAGCAAAUGUUUACUGUAGCACCAUAAUGUCAAAUUAUGGCGCAAUUAGGCUCAAAAGAUUCGUCUCGUAAUUUACAUGCAAAUUAUGUAAUUAGUUUUUUUCGUCUACAUUUAAUGCUCUACUCAUGUGUCUAAAUAUUUGAUGUGACUUUUUUUUGCCAAAAUUUUUUUGGAAUCUAAACCCAGCCUGAGUGAAGAUGAGCUGACAACAUCAAGCAUGAGAAAUCAUUAAAUCAAGAAGACUGUGACCACACGAGGUUAAGGAUAAUUAAUUAUUUUUCAGAAAAACAAAGGAUAAAUUGCAUUCAACUACUGGUGGUGCUAGGCUGCUAGCAUGAAAAGUUAAAACAAAGCGAACACUUUGAAUUAUUAGAUCCAAAAACGGCAUCGCACCAACAGGCUGUGCUAACGAUGUUCGUUCCUGAAACGAGAACAGGGACAUUUCGCAAUUUGUUGAUCUCCGUUCAGGCAACAGCAGAAUGAAUUCGAAAUGAUGGUUUAUAGUGACACCCUUGUGGAUGGAUUGAUGGUUAGUAACCAAAUUCGAGAAGACGAGAAGCAUAUGCAAUUGCCAUGGCAAUAAUAACAACAUCCACAAGCAUCUGGUGACUUAAUGAUGUGCAUAGCAACAGCAGCAGUAGUGAUUAGUGAGUGAAUCCAUCCAUCGGCCACCACAGAAAUAAAUAAAGAAAAAAAAACCAUCUCCUUCGGCAGCGGCAGCGGAGCCAAACAGAUGUAGCGCCGCCGGAUUCCCACGCUCGGCCGGGGGCGUGAGAGCGAGAGAGAGCAAUCGAUUUCAAAUCAACGCCGCAGAGAGGGGAGAGAGGAAGGAGAAAACCCCGUACCUCGGCCGGUGGGUGGGAGGAAGGCGGCGAGUCGCGCGUGCUGCGGCAUUCGGUGGCGGCGGCGGCGCGCGCGCUCCCCUCUCCUCCGGCGCCGCACCGGCGGUUGUGUUGCGUCCCCUCGAAGCGGAGGAAGCAGGAAGGAGAAGGGAGGC
rnacentral:lncRNA from 1 species